GAGUAUCAUGUAAUCACGUCUUAUCAUUGACACCUUGUUGUCAUGUCAUUUCCUUCAUUGAAAUGACAAUAAGGUGUCAGUGAUUAGGCGUAAUGACGUGACACUCCAU
rfam:Glycine max cultivar Williams 82 chromosome 1, whole genome shotgun sequence.